ensembl:antisense C130080G10Rik RIKEN cDNA C130080G10 gene
AGAGCUUCUCAACCAUGUUUGGGAUGGUCUAGGGAUGAAACUGCUGGACAGCUGAGCCAUGGAGACUGGGGAGAGGCCUGCCUGGCUGAGACCAAGCCCUGCUGUAGCAUUUGACAGUGAGGAUGCCCAUUGACAGGAAGCAGACGUAGAGAAAAGGAGAAUCAGAAUGAUCGACAGGCUUCAAAUCCUACCUCUAACACUUAACUACGUUCCGCACGUUUGGUCUCGGGCAGGCCAGUUAACUCAUCAAGACCCCAUUUUCACCCCCCUGAAAAGUGGCAUAGUAACUCAGUUCUAUUGAGUUACUGAGGACUGGCCCACAAAGAGACAAGCAAAGCCAGGAUAAGCCCCCCUACAAAAUGGGUAACAGAAGAUGACCUUGAACUCCUGACAUCCCAAUUUCUACCUCCUGAGCGCUGGGACUGUAGGUGGCCUAAUUGUUUCUAAAGUUGAAUGGAUCUGAAGUUCCUGAACUUGUGUGCAAGCGUUUGACAGAGGCUGAUGAGAGAUUCCUGUCACUGUGUGUGUGCCGAAGUUCUCUGGAACUGGGACCGGUGAUAUUGAUCUGACCCUCUGCAGUGUUCCGAGGGCUUGCUUACCCACUCCAAGUCUGUGAGUCCUAAUGAAGCAGAGCUAAGUCCGCUGAAGACCACCUUUGGGAGAUCCUGGAGUGGCUGCUCCCUGAAGAGAGUCCUGGUCCUAGGAAUCUGGGAUUCUACCUGAAGUCCCAAAGAUGAACAAAUGGUAGAGAGGCACCUGACUGAGCCUGCUUCCUAACCGACUUCUCAGAACUGCCUGCCGCUGGGCUGCCUAACAGAAGCUCAAGUUCUGGGAUUCCACCCUUGAAGAGAAAUGAAUCUGCACUUAACUUAGUGAGCCCUGUAGGUCAGGACAUGUAGUUCUUGCUACCCUGAAGCUCACUAUGUACGACAGACUGGCCCCAACACACUGAGAUCUGCGUGGUUCUGUCUCCCCAGUGCUGAGAUCAAAGGCACGUGUAUAGUUAGGGUACAGGACUUUUACUUAUAUGUUAUGGCUCUAGGUUUGUUUUCAUGGGAUUCCUGAUUGUGCCAGCAAUUGGGUCUCUGUGUCUACAUCUGUUUCUUUUGCCUUUUCUUUGACUCCCUCUCUUUUGUUUGUUUCGUUUGCCCUAUUCUGAUGUGUUAGUUUUUGUUUUAUCUUAUUAUAUUUUAUUAUUAUUCAUCAAGUGCCCUUCUGUUUUCUGAAGAGAAACAGAAAGGUGGUGAAUUUGCAUGGGGUGGGAGGCAUAGGAGAACUGGGAGGAGUAAAGAGAGAAGAGAUCAUAAUCAGGAUAUAUUGUAUGAAAAAAAAACAGACUAUUUUCAAUAAAACUACAACAAAAAAUGAAGAACAAAAAUAAUCAGUCUACCUUAUCUUCCCAGAAGAAGGAAGAGUAACCUUGAACUUAUGGUUCUCUCUGCCUAAGCUUCAUGAGUGUUGGUAGUGUGGGAUUGCACCAUGAGGAAGAUACUGUGGUGGGAUAGAACAGAUUGUGACAGAAAACUAAAAAUUCUCAACCAGAAGAAUUAGAAAGAAAGCAAGAAAGCAAGG